UUGAAAAUAAAAAUAAAGCGGACUUUAUUCAGAAGAUAAAGGUGGUGGUAUCAGUUUUGGUUAAUAAAGUUGGGCUCAAGUGUUUUAACAGAGAGGGAGGACUGGGGUAACUGAGAAAAAAUGAAAAGCAAAAUUAACCAAUGUAAUUGGUGCAGGCAGCUGCCACUUGUGGCAAACCCAAGUCUAUCUGAUGCCCAUUUUCUUCACAUUUGCACUGACAUCUUCCAAGCAGACGGUAACUACAUUCUUGAAGGAAUGUGCCAAGACUCAGGGUGGGGAAGGCCCAGACAGUGAGUGGACAGAAUGCACUUCGCAUUCAGUUGCCUUAAAUGGUACCAACUGAUUAAGGACAGACACCCAAACCAUAGGAAACAGUAGCUGAAGGUAACUAAAGGAGGAUUAAAAUGCAUAACCAGUGCAGAAUAGAACAGCAAGGCACCAAGACCACAAUCCAAUCUGCACAUUUCCCCCUUUCCCGCACUAAAUGCAUCUGGGAGAAAGCAUUA
rnacentral:lncRNA from 1 species